AACGAACGCUGGCGGCAUGCCUAACACAUGCAAGUCGAACGAGACCUCCGGGCCUAGUGGCGCACGGGUGCGUAACGCGUGGUAACUUGCCCUUAGGUUCGGAACAACUGCCUGUAAGGUGUGUUAAUACCGGUUAAUGUAUUCGGACCAAAGAGUUAUUGCUUUUGGGUGGGCGCGGGUUGGAUUGGCGGGUUGGUAGGGGAAAAGCCUACCAAGGCGACGAUGCUUAGCUGGUCUGAGAGGAUGAUUCACCACGCUGGGACUGAGACACGGACCAGACUCGUACGGAGCGCAGCAGUGUAGAAUAUUGGGCGAUGGGCGCAAGCCUGAUCCCGCAAUGCCGGGGAAGUGGUGCAGGCGUUAGGGUUGUAAAGCUCUUUUAGCCGAGAUGUUAGUGACGGUACCGGGAGAAUAAGCACCGGCUAACUACGUG
rnacentral:rRNA from 1 species